UACAGAGGUGGCAAGCGUUGUUCGGAUUUACUGGGCGUAAAGGGCGCGUAGGCGGCCAGCACAAGUCAGUUGUGAAAUCUCCGAGCUUAACUCGGAAAGGUCAACUGAUACUGUGCGGCUAGAGCGCGGAAGGGGCAACUGGAAUUCUUGGUGUAGCGGUGAAAUGCGUAGAUAUCAAGAGGAACACCUGCGGCGAAGGCGGGUUGCUGGGCCGACACUGACGCUGAUGCGCGAAAGCUAGGGGAGCGAACGGG
rnacentral:rRNA from 1 species